UUCAGUUCGUUGAGUGAUAAAAUAAAUAAAUUUCUGAAAUAAAAGCAGUCUAAGUUACCCUUUACUAUAUCAGGUAUCUGCCAGGGAAAGUCCCGUCAAAAUCGGUUCUGUAGUUUCAGAAAUUAGGAACAAACAGACAGACAGACAAAAAUUGUAAAAAAUGCUAUUUUGGUAUAUGUACCGUGUACAUCUAUAUGCAAUUAGUAAAACUCGGUUAUUUUAAUAUUACAAACAGACACUCCAAUUUUAUUUAGAUGUAUAGAUGUAAAACAAACUUAUAUUC